ACUGGACUUAGAUAACUAAGUCGGGAUGUCUCAUAAGCGUCUCAGUGGGGUGCCCUGUGUUUGGGACACUAAAGGGCUCAGCUGCUAAUGGAGGAGACCCGCAACUGGGAGGCUUGAGAGUGGUCACCCUAGGAGCAGAAGAUCCAUCCCUAAGCAUAACUCAAACUGAACGUCUACUCGUUAUGGAAUUGAAAUGAGGUAAACAGUUGCUGAGUGGAAAGCGUCCAUUGGUGUGGAGGCGGGGAAGUCCAGGAUUGAGAUGUAGCCCAGCUCCUUUCUGCCGACGCAUUAGUCAGUGCUGUUUCUUCUUUCAGGAGCUCUAAUGCCACCGUGGGACACUGCCCUCAGGAUCUCAUCCAAGCUAAUCAUUUCCCAUACAUGGUGGGAAGAGUGCUGGGAUUAACGGUGUGUGCCACUGGUCUUGGGAAGUUUGAGAAAACUAGCUGAACACAAGUCUAGAAGCAAACCAAUAAGCAACAUUCCUCCAUGAUCUCUGCUACAUUUCCUGCCUCUAGGUUCCU
rnacentral:sRNA from 1 species